AGUUCAGACGGUGUGCUCGUAAUGCCUAGGUUUGAAUCCCACUUCUGCUCCUCAGAUGCUGUGUAAUCUUAAGCAACUGCAGAAACCAACAAAGACCAACCAAAUGAGAACAAGCAAAGACUGUUUAUUCUGAACCUGCUAUAGUAGGGGGGUGAGCCACCAUCACUUGUGUUUUUACAGAGAAAGGCAGAGGAGGGGGAAAGCUUUGUAGUGGGAAAAGGAAAGACUUCAGGUGUGUCCCGAUUGGAGGCUGUUGGCUGAUUAGAAGUGGGACAUCUAUGUGAUUGGUUAGGGGAGCAUAUUUGGCUUUCUCUGGUUGGUCCUAAUUUGGAAGUGGAGACUAUAUUUAGGGAAACUGUCAGUUAUCACUCAAGUCCUGGCCAUUUGGGACCCAUUGUUAUAGAAGUUAUUGUUUAGCUACCUGGAUGGUUACUAAAGAUAGCAACUAGGCUUCUUAGAAUCUGACUCAAAGAAGGCUGGCUUCCUGGACUGUUUCUCAGAGAUAAAAAGGUCAGGAUGUGGCAGCUGGGAUAUCCCAACCAAUUACUUCUGAGCUGGAGACCUUCCAGUUUGGGGAUAAGUAAUGGUCCAUCCUGUUCCGGGGUCUCUAAUACAGAGGUCUUGCGAAGAUAGGCCACCCAGCUGUGGGCAGGCGGCUGAAGGAAACAUCGAAGGUCUCUGGGAGCAGACUGAAUCUUCAAUUCUCCAGACAAGAUUCUUCUAACGUCCUGCCUGAAGGGAUAGGCCUGGCUGCUAGUUUUCUGAGAGGCAAGAAAGGGCAAAGGACUCCAGGACUCAACAUUCAGUCGCAGCUAUUGGCAAUCUGGAAAAGAAAAAACAUCCGAAAAGGAAAGAGACAAAAAACCUAGUACCCCUCAUUCACAGCCAAAAGCCAGUCAGCCUACAACUGGAUCUAGCCUGGGGAGGGGCAAAGAAAACCCAAUUUGCCAUACAGACUAAAGUGUUUAUAAGUAUAUUUGAAUGAAAACUGCUUACUACUGAAGUGAGACUAAGUUAUGUCUUAAAGAUUGUUUGACUUUUUAUUACCUAAAUGCGACUAGAAAAGUCUUGGAGACUACAAGAAUUUUCCUUCAAGAACAAAGAUCACCCAUUGAGCAGGAUAAAAGAGGAAAUUGCACAUCUUAUGAUAAACCCUCAUGGUUCCAACUGAUUUUAAUGAAUCAGUUAUGCAUAAUUGAAAAUUUAAAGUUAAUCAGCAUAUUAACCUUCUCUACUAAAAUUGCAAGAACCUUAAAGUAUUUUGUUUCUGACUGCUUCUCUCCCAAUUUACAUGUAAUUUUUAUAUAGUAUUUAUCGCUUUUUGAAGCCUACACAUUAGUAUAUUAUUUUCAUGCAACAUUUAUAUUAUUUUCACAUUUACCAACUUCUUUGUUCCCUUUUUUUAAAUCUCAGAACUUCGUUCCAGAUCAUGUUUCAAUUUUUCAUAAUCAAUAUAUCCUUUAAGAAUUUCUUUACGAAGCUUUUACAGGUGGCAAGUUCUUAAAAAUUAUUUGUCUGAAAUCAUUAUUUUUAAGUAGUUUUAUUGGGCACAUAUUUCUAGAUUGACAUUUGCUCUCACUUCCGUUUUUGUUGUUAAGAAGCCUACUGUCAGUCAAAUGGUUAUUCACUGCAGAAAUCCAUCUCUUCUCUCUGACUGAUUUUAAGUCCUUUUUUUGAUUUACUGUCUUGCAGCUAUGCUACAGUCUGCCUGGGUGUGCCAUUUCUUGCCAUCUUUUCUACUUGAUAUGCAUGGUGCUUAAUCCUCCUGUUUGUAUUGUGGUCACGUUGCUUUUAACUGUGCCUGGUGUUUAGGAAACUUCUGUUUACCCUGCCAGAGAAUAAACCUCUAAUCCUCUGCCUGUAUGAGCCAAGCCGAGGCAAUGAACACUUGCCUGAAUUUGUGGAAUAAGAAAGAGAAUGUAACUGGUGGAGGAAACAGGCAGUGGCACUUGAGUGGUGCCUGAGAAAGAGACAGUGGUUAGGUCUAACUGCAGUCUGCUCUGACAGGCCACAAUGGGCGUGAAUCCUUGGGUCUAAAUACAAAACCCGUGGUAGACAUGGAAGCACAGAGUAGAAUCAUUUUUAAAAAAGAUGCUACCCAAGAGGAUAGCCUGGCAGGACAAAGGAAGCCUGGCAUUAAGAGCCUGUGGGGUUUACGUCUGGGAGCAGAAUCUGCAAGUGGGUCUGGAACAGCCGGAUGGAGGAGAAGCACUCCCACCUGAGAGGAGGUGCGAUGGAGGGGCCAGCAUGGAGACUCUAGAGAACUCCAGGGAGCAUCUCCCCACAGCCUCAGCUACAUUCUUGUUGUCACCUCUCCUAUUCUCUUGAUUUUUGUGGCUUGGUUCAUACCUUUAAAAAUAUUUUAAAUAUCACUUUACUGAAGCUUUAGGAGAAAACAAAAUUAAAUGUCUAUGUUUCCAAAGGUUCUUAAAUGUUUUUAAAAGUAUUUAAAUUGUAUUUUUAUGUAGUAUUUGAAACAAAAGUUAUUCAUAACAUUUAGUGUGUGUUAUGGUGCCUAAUAAUAACCAAACACCUGUGACCCUACCCCCAACCUAAGAAAUGGAACAAUACCAAUUGUGUCAAGAUGUCUGUGGGGCUCCCGUGGCAUCCCCUUCUCAUUCUAUUCAGAAAAUUUUCCUUCUAAAUUUGAAUUUUCUUGCUCAUUUUUGUUUCAUCUCUCAGCUUUGAAAAAUUAGUAUCUUAAGGUAUAUCUUUUCUCUCCAAUAUUUGAAGAGAUAAUUGAUAAUUAUUAUCCAAGAUUGAUGUUGGAUAAUUCCAAUAUUUGAAGUUCCCUGAAGUCUAAAUCUGUUGACUCUCCUUUGUGGUUUCUUGCUUCCUCGUGUUUCUUUCUCUCUGGUUUUUGUUUUGUUGUUGUUUUUUUUUUUUUUAAUGAACACCUUCAAGGUUGAAGAUCAAGGAACACUCAGGAACUAAGUCAGGGAUGUGUUGCUCCUUGUGUCCUUGUAUUUGCUUCUGCUGGACCCCAGGAGGUGCUGCAAAGCUGGAACUCCUAUACCAUCUUGGCUUGAGUUUUCUCUGACCAGACAGGUUAUCCAUUUCAACUUGAGCGAGACUCAUGGGAGAGUAGGCUCAGAGCUAUAAUUUUCAAGGGAUACUCUAUGUGGAGACAUCUGAGCCAGGACUCUUGGAAGGUUCCCUUUGCUGGUAGAUAGACUUUUCCAGCGUGUAGCCCCCCUUUGAGUUUCCUGGCUUAAUGUGGUAGUCCAAGUUCAGCUCCAGAACUUUCCAAGGGCCUAAGUGUUCCAUCCCCAAUUGCCUCUCAGCAUUUGCCUUAAGGGCAGCCCUGGUUUUUACAUUCACUCAGUGCUCUGGUUUCAACACCCUGUUGCUGUUUACAUGCCCUUAUUUUCUUGAAUGCUUAGCAGUGAAUUAAAAAAUGUGUUUGUUAUAAUUUAUCCAGGUCUUGUUAAAGAAUCUAGCCCACCAUAUUACUAGAAGCAAAUCCAUACUUGAAGUUCUGAUUUCCUUUGUGGUAUCAGAGGUGUUAGCAGAGAGAUUUACAUUUCUCUGUUGUUCAGUUGCAUUUUGUGAAUUUCCAGGAUGAUUACUGCUGCUGGUUUUCCUGUUUGGCUUUUGCCAAUCAUGGAGAUUAGAAAAUAAAGUUUCCAUUUUUC
ensembl:lncRNA